rnacentral:rRNA from 1 species
GUGCCAGCAGCCGCGGUAAUACAUAGGGUGCAAGCGUUAUCCGGAAUGAUUGGGCGUAAAGCGUCUGUAGGUGGUUUAAAAAGUCUACUGUCAAAUACGAUGGCUCAACCAACGGCAGGCAGUAGAGUACUAUUAAACUAGAGUUUGGUAGAGGUAGAGGGAAUCCCUAGCGUAACAGUGAAAUGUGUAGAUUUUAGGGAGAACACCAGCGGCGAAGGCGCUCUACUGGGCCAAUACUGACACUGAGAGACGAAAGCUAAGGGAGCGAAUAGGAUUAGAUACCCUAGUAGUCC